rnacentral:rRNA from 1 species
UACGUAGGUGGCUAGCGUUGUCCGGAUUUACUGGGCGUAAAGAGCGCGCAGGCGGUCGUUCAAGUCGAGUGUGAAAGCCCCCGGCUCAACUGGGGAGGGUCACUCGAUACUGCUCGACUUGAAGGCGGGAGAGGGAAGCGGAAUUCCCGGUGUAGUGGUGAAAUGCGUAGAUAUCAAGAGGAACACCUGCGGCGAAGGCGGGUUGCUGGGCCGCCACUGACGCUGAAGCGCGAAAGCUAGGGGAGCGAACGGG